rnacentral:rRNA from 1 species
AUUGAACGCUGGCGGCAGGCCUAACACAUGCAAGUCGAACGAGGGGCGGACGGGUGAGUAAUGUCUGGGAAAGUGCCUGAUGGAGGGGGAUAACUACGGGAAACGGGAGCUAAUACCGCAUACCAUGAGAUGUGCCCAGAUGGGAUUAGCUAGUUGGUGGGGUAACGGCUCACCAAGGCGACGAUCCCUAGCUGGUCUGAGAGGAUGACCAGCCACACUGGAACUGAGACACGGUCCAGACUCCUACGGGAGGCAGCAGUGGGGAAUAUUGCACAAUGGGCGCAAGCCUGAUGCAGCCAUGCCGCGUGUAUGAAGAAGGCCUUCGGGUUGUAAAGUACUUUCAGCGGGGAGGCGUUACCCGCAGAAGAAGCACCGGCUAACUCCGUGCCAGCCGCCGCGGUAAUUC